rnacentral:lncRNA from 1 species
CCCUUUGUGAGGCGCGGGAGAGAUGUGCACCCCACAUCUCUUUGCUUGAGUCCUGGUCCGCAAGAUGGGUGCUUGUUCGUGUGCCCCACCCCACCCCCACGCCCGAGGCCGGGUGCGGCAACUCCGCCCGCCAGCCGCUCCUGCAUUAAAAUUUCAUGGGCGCUGCAGUAAACGCGAAGACGACGCCGGUUGCGCUGGGGGGCCGUAGGGAGGGAGGCUGCGGACCAGAGCGGGGAGGAGUUUGCGAGGGGAGGCGCUUGGGAGGACUCCCCCAGUUCUGUUAAGAGCUGGGCACAAAGAGCCCUUUGCACUCCAGCCGCAGGAGCGAGGAGGAGCCGAGACCUGGGGCGUCCAGCGCAGCCUCAAACCCAGGGCAUCUCUGCACUCUCAUCGCGACGUCGCUCUGGAUGCUGUUUGCAUAUCCUUGGGGAGUCACUGCUUUGGCACAACAGUCCUGCGAGGUGAGUUCCUGCUGGUUCCCAGGUGGUGGAAGAGUGGAGAGAUUUGGGAAAGGUCACGACUAGCCUGCAAAGCAGCCUUGCAGAUAAGUAUCAUUUCACCAGCCUGCCUGCUCUCUGCUGGUGCGUGUGAGAAAGGGUCAGCUCUGGAAUCCCCAACGGGAGGGAGGAUGGCCGUCCUGUGACUCUGGCUCUUGAAGAUGUCAUUUGUAAGCUUGAACAGGCUCCUGGGUCUUGCAGACACAGGGGGACCUCCUCAGGGUUCCUCCACUCAGGAUCCUCCAGGAUCCUGGGACAGUAGGCUCUAAGAGCAGCUAUGAGAUGUCUCACCUUCCUUGGCUCGGGGUUUGGAGGACAGAUGUAGCAUGACUGUCAGGAAAGAGCAAACCUGAGUCCUGGUGUGGAAUGCAGGCACUCCCUUCUCUCUUCCACCACCCUGGUGACUUGCAGUGGUCCACACAAGCUCUGCACACUUUGGCCACCUGUUUUUUUGUUGUGGGAGUCACAGGAAGGAGGGGACUGAGGUGGGCAGAGGGCUGCUUUCAUUUCUCAACCAUGCCUUGAAUGGCCACUAUAGUUCCCUUGUGGGACAGGGCAGGGAUCAGAGAGAGGCACAGGCUUCCAGCAGCCGGGACAGUUCUAAGCUUAGAGUUCUAGAUCCCCCUCUGUCAGCACUGCUCACCCUGUUGUCCCCUAUCUGCCCAGUUUACUUUGAGUUUUUCUGGGUCACACAAGAACCCACAAUGCUCUAGGUGACAGAGGAGGAGGAGGAGGAGGCAAAUGGCUCCUGAGCCAAGGCAGGGCUUGUGCAAGGUCAUCUCCUGGGGUGCAUCUUGUGUGUGUGUGUGUGUGGGGGGGGGUAGCUCUUCUGUCUUCCAGAGUCAUCCAGUGAUGUCUGUGUGGAGGAGGAGCUAGGAGCUAGGCCUUCCAUGAUGUCGAUGAUGUAAUGAUGUCAG